CCUCCUUACCCACAAGGAGAAACGGAAGGAACUUUGGAAAAUGUAAGAUUGGAGCUCCUUGAUGAAGUAAAGAAGAGGAGCAACUGCCUGGUCAUCAGUGAGAAAAUGGCAAAGACAUUCUCCAUUCGCAGGCAGGAAGUUGUCAUUCAAGCACCAUCAAUCAGUGACUUGAGAGACCGAUGGCCUGGUCUUUUCGAUGCAACUCAGAUAAAUGAAGAAUUCAGAAGGGUCACCACUGUUGGCCUUGAGACAACAUUCAUGGCAAAACUGGACCAGUAUACCCCGAAAAUAAUGGCACUGGUGUCCUCAAGAGGAGGAGCUGCAAAAAUGAAGAUUUAGCACAUAAAGAAAAUGCUGCUAGAGGAACCGUCUGUAGAAAGGAGGAG